rnacentral:lncRNA from 1 species
CAUCUUGUGCCUAAUCCACCUGUACUUGGAGCUCCACCUUGCUCUGAGCUUCUACUGGCUCCUAAAGCUCCAUCUCACAUUGAGCUCCCUGCCAAGAGGUAAUGUCCUUCAUGUUGGAUUAUGGUAGGUGAAGUGCAUGUAGAAAUUUCAAAAUUUUUUAAAAAAUGUAGUGGAAGUAUAGAUUAAAACAUCUUUUAAUCUAGCAUGCAAAGAUCU